ACGGAAGGCAGCAGUGGGGAAUAUUGCACAAUGGGGGAAACCCUGAUGCAGCGACGCCGCGUGAGUGAAGAAGUAUUUCGGUAUGUAAAGCUCUAUCAGCAGGGAAGAAAAUGACGGUACCUGACUAAGAAGCCCCGGCUAACUACGUGCCAGCAGCCGCGGUAAUACGUAGGGGGCAAGCGUUAUCCGGAUUUACUGGGUGUAAAGGGAGCGUAGGUGGCGUGGCAAGUCAGAAGUGAAAGCCCGGGGCUCAACUCCGGGACUGCUUUUGAAACUGGCAUGCUAGAGUGCAGGAGAGGUAAGUGGAAUUCCUAGUGUAGCGGUGAAAUGCGUAGAUAUUAGGAGGAACACCAGUGGCGAAGGCGGCUUACUGGACUGUAACUGACACUGAGGCUCGAAAGCGUGGGGAGCAAACAGGAUUAGAUACCCUGGUA
rnacentral:rRNA from 1 species